rnacentral:misc_RNA from 1 species
GCGGGCUGGACCUCUCGGGGUUACAGCCUUGCUGAGUUAUUCACCCUUGUCUUUUGCGUACUUCUUGUUUCCUUGGUGGGUUCGCCCACCACUAGGACAAACAUAAACCUUUUGUAAUUGCAAUCAGCGUCAGUAACAAAUUAAUAAUUACAACUUUCAACAACGGAUCUCUUGGUUCUGGCAUCGAUGAAGAACGCAGCAAAACG